rnacentral:rRNA from 1 species
CCUACGGGAGGCUGCAGUGAGGAAUAUUGGUCAAUGGCCGGAAGGCUGAACCAGCCAUGCCGCGUGAAGGUCAGUGCCCUAUGGGCGUUAAACUUCUUUUGUGCGGGAGCAAUAAUGGUCACGUGUGGCCAGACGAGAGUACCGUACGAAUAAGCAUCGGCUAACUCCGUGCCAGCAGCCGCGGUAAUACGGGGGAUGCAAGCGUUAUCCGGAUUUAUUGGGUUUAAAGGGUGCGUAGGCUGGGAGGUAAGUCAGCGGUGAAAUGCCCCCGCUCAACGGGGUGAAGUGCCAUUGAUACUGCCUGGCUGGAAUGCGGAUGCCGUGGGAGGAAUGUGUGGUGUAGCGGUGAAAUGCAUAGAUAUCACACAGAACACCGAUUGCGAAGGCAUCUCACGAAGCCGCGAUUGACGCUGAUGCACGAAAGCGUGGGUAUCAAACAGGAUUAGAUACCCGAGUAGUC